GCUCACAGACCAACUGUUUAAUUCUGUUCUAGGACCUUUCCUGGUAUCUACAUCAAGCUGACCAGUUGGUAGUUGCCUUUUUGAAGAUGGGAGCAAAACCUUCCUGCUUCCAGCCCACAGGGACUUCACCUGUUCCCCAAGAAUUCUCAAAUGUUAGAGGAGGAAGCUCUGAGAUUCCAAAUAUGGAAAGCAACACCAAGAUGUCUCGCCAAGUCACUGUUCUUGUGAUUGGAGCUGGAAGUCGGGGAAUGAAUUAUUCCUCUUUUGCUCAGCAGUUUCCUGCACGCAUGAAGGUGAUUGGUGUGGCAGAUCCACAUCCAUUUGCGAGGAAGAGGCUCCAGAAAGCUCAUGGCAUUGACGAGGACAAUGUGUUUGAUGACUGGACAGCAGCGGCUGAGAAAGAGAGGUUUGCGGAUGCUGUUAUCAUAGCAACGCCCGACAGCCUUCACAAGGCGCCGGCAGUGGCUUUUGCCCACAAAGGAUACCACAUCUUGCUGGAGAAGCCCAUGGCGGUAACACCAGAGGACUGUAAAGAAAUAGUUCUGGCCUGUAAAACCAACGACGUCAUCCUCGCAGUCUGUCACGUCCUGCGCUACCAUCCAGUGUCCUUGAAAAUAAAGGAACUCCUCGACGCUGGACUGAUUGGAGACAUCUGCCACAUUCAGCACCUGGAACCUGUUGGAUUCUGGCAUUUUGCCCACUCCUUUGUACGAGGAAACUGGCGGAACGAAGCCGAGAGCACCUUUUCGCUGCUCGCUAAAUCGUGCCACGAUGUCGACCUCAUCAAUUACUGGAUGGGCAGCAGAAGAUGUUUGAAAGUGUCAUCUUUUGGCAACCUGUCCCAUUUCACGAAAGAGCACAAGCCGGAAGGAGCUGCAGAUCGCUGUUUAGACUGUUCGGUUGAACAAACCUGCCCGUAUUCAGCAAAGAAGAUUUAUCUGGCACAGGCCGAGAGGGGAUACUUUGGGUGGCCAGUUUCUGUGGUCUGCCAUAGUGGUGAGUACGAUAUAGAAUCGCUGACCGACGCUUUGCGCCACGGCCCCUACGGAAGGUGCGUUUACGAGUGUGACAAUGACGUUGUUAAUCACCAGGUAUGCAGCCUUGCACUAAACCUUCCUUCCUCUUCUCCCCAGCUGCCCUCCUGUGGUUAUUUCUUAACCAAAUUGACAAGUCACAGAAAUGGCAGCAUUAUUGUCUUGGAAGAUGUUUAGUAGGGCAAGUUCUGGGUUGACUUCUAAAACUUGUUUAGUUAUUUUGCAUAUUUCUUAUAUGAUUGCUGUCCAGAAGAGUUGGAUUUUGGGGCAUUCUCACCACAUUGUGGAGGUAUGUGCCUGUGGAUUUUGGUGAGGUUCACUAGCAUUUUGGUGAGGUUCCUGGGUGUAUUAGCGGUAGUUUUUGUGGUGUUAGGUACCAUAUGUAAGUGAGUUUUCUAGAGUGAGUUCUUUCCUUUCCGCUGAUACGGAUUUAAAGGGAGGUUUAGACCACAUUCUAGUCCAUUGGGUGGGGUUAAUCUCAUAGCCUAUGCUCCCCACCCUCCAAUUAUCCUCUGCACCUUUGCAGUGAAUAUUUUCUAGAAGUAUGAAUUGCUUGACUUUAAUAUAGUACAGGAUUGGGGAACCUUUUUUCAAGCUGAGGGCUGCAUUCUCUCCUGGGUAAUGUUCGGGGUGGCAAAAAGGAGGCAAAAGAACGCAAAUUUGACCUUUGUGCAGUUUUCUACACACAUACAUCUCUGUCUUCCGUUUGGGAAAGCAAGAGGCACGAUCAGAGUUCAAGGGCAAAGUCCAGUCUGACAUAAACUCUCAGGGAGUUGAUAGUUUAAGAGCAGCUGGCUUCUAGUGAGUCUGCAGGGGCAGUCAGCUAUAUGGCAGUAUCUGACAUGCACCUCUGAUGGCCUCCUGACAGCUGACACGAAAUAGCCAGGGGGCAUUUCCUUAUGUCAUUUUCAUUUAACCAAUCAGAAACAUCCCUUCAGAUUGAUGAUAAUAGUAACGACUCCAAGCCAAUGAAAGUUGGCCUUGCUUUUGAAUUUGAAACCCAAAUGUCAAUGCUCAACAUAAAACUUCUGGUGACAUUUUUCAUUGUCAGUUUUGGGGGUGGGAAGGUUUGUUAUGGCUCUAGUUUGCUAAUUUAAGACAGGGUUUCUUCAGCCAUUGCUGGACUACAGCUCCCAUCAUCUCGAGCUAGCAGGACCAGUGGUCAAGGUUGAUGGGGAUUGUAGUCCAAAAACAGCUGGAGACCCAACUUUGGGAAACCCUGAUCUAAGAUUUCAAGGUUUCAUAUAUUUCUGUAUGUGUAUAAUCUAUCACACACGCAUCCACACUUUCUAUUCCAAAUUUGCCAACCCGCAGUUCUCAGAUACUUUGGACUAUACAGUGGUACCUCGGGUUAAGUACUUAAUUAGUUCUGGAGUUCCGUUCUUAACCUGAAACUGUUCUUAACCUGAAGCACCACUUUAGCUAAUGGGGCCUCCUGCUGCCGCCGGAGCGCGAUUUCUGUUCUCUUCCUGAAGCAAAGUUCUUAACCCAAGGUACUAUUUCUGGGUUAGCGGAGUCUGUAACCUGAAGUGUAUGUAACCUGAGGUAGCACUGUAACUUCCAUCAGCCCAAGCUGGUGCUUACAGAAGGCAUGCUUUGAAACCAGUCUUGAGAACUAGGAGCAUCCAUUUAAAUAAUGGAAAUUGAAACCUGCUUCCAGCUCCCUGCCAUGUUCUGUACACCGGUCUUCACUUGUUAUUUCAUGUCCCUCCUCAGGUUGUCAAUAUGGAGUUUGAAGGUGGAGCCACUGUUGCCUUCACAAUGGUUGGCUUCACGCACAAACUAGGCGUGAGGAAAACAACCAUCUAUGGGACA